GUACACGCUGUGACUAGCAUAUCAAUAAGCGGAGGAAAAGAAACUAACAAGGAUUCCCCUAGUAACGGCGAGUGAAGCGGGAAGAGCUCAAAUUUGAAAUCUUAAAGGGUUUCCCUUUACGAAUUGUAGUUUAAAGAAGUGUUUUCUGUUGAGGUUUUGGUAAAAGUUCUUUGGAAUAGGACAUCAUAGAGGGUGAGAAUCCCGUACUUUGACCUUUACUUUCAACUUUGUGAUACACUUUCAAAGAGUCGGAUUGUUUGGGAAUGCAGUCCAAAAUGGGUGGUAAAUUUCAUCUAAAGCUAAAUAUUGGCGAGAGACCGAUAGCGAACAAGUACCGUGAGGGAAAGAUGAAAAGAACUUUGAAAAGAGAGUUAAACUAGUACGUGAAAUUGUCGAAAAGGGAAGCGUUUGACACCAGUGUUGUUUUUCUGAAAAUCAAUUAAAGAGCUGUUUAUGCUAAGUUGUUUAGACUUUAUCAGCUAUCUGUUUAGUUUUGAGCUUUUCUUUAAUGCACUUUUCAGUUAACAAGUCAACAUCAAUUUCUUUUGCUGUAAAAAAGCUUGAGGAAGGUGGCUUGAGAUUCGUCUUAAGUGUUUAUAGCCUCUUGCCUAUGCAGUCGGAGAGAUUGAGGUCUGCAGCGUAGAUCCUUCGGGGCUAAAUGCAUUUGUGCUAAGUUAUAGCAUUUUAUAGACAACUUGUUGACUAUGAUUUGUCUUGUAGCUUACUCGCUUAUGUUAUUUUACCUACGCUUAGGAUGUUGAAGAUGUAGCACAUCAU
rnacentral:rRNA from 1 species